GCCCUUCUAUUCGCUGCGCGGUAUCUCUAUAUUGAAACUGCCGCUCGCAAGGGUGGCUAUGGCGAUACACGGCGAUCGUAAUAAACCCAUCGGACCCGGGGGCAGUACCCGGCGCCUCCACCCGAGAGCAGCGUGCUGCCUUCCGGCGGGGGCGAAACAGGAUCGACGAGGGCGUAAAGGGUUGGUCGUCGCCCGGCAUGAUACCACCGUCAUCGGGUCAACAUAAUAGUUGCCAACGACAACUAUGCUCCGGUUGCUCAGGCCGCGUAACGCGGUUUGAAAUGCCGAACCAAAGUCCUUCGGGUUAGCCCCUGAAGGCGGGGCCGGCAGGGGCCUGGCAACAGAACCCUGCCACU
rnacentral:tmRNA from 1 species